UGGCCGUCGUCACCUCGUGUCGUGAGAUGUUGGGUUAAGUCCCGCAACGAGCGCAACCCUUGUCAUUAGUUGCUACGAAAGGGCACUCUAAUGAGACUGCCGGUGACAAACCGGAGGAAGGUGGGGAUGACGUCAGGUCAUCAUGGCCCUUAUGGGUAGGGCUACACACGUCAUACAAUGGCCGGUACAGAGGGCUGCCAACCCGCGAGGGGGAGCUAAUCCCAGAAAACCGGUCGUAGUCCGGAUCGUAGUCUGCAACUCGACUGCGUGAAGUCGGAAUCGCUAGUAAUCGCGGAUCAG
rnacentral:rRNA from 1 species